CACGUAGGGCGCAAGCGUUGUCCGGAAUUAUUGGGCGUAAAGAGCUCGUAGGUGGUUUGUUACGUCUGCUGUGAAAACCUAGGGCUUAACCCUGGGCUUGCAGUGGAUACGGGCAGACUAGAGGUAGGUAGGGGGAGAAUGGAAUUCCUGGUGUAGCGGUGAAAUGCGCAGAUAUCAGGAGGAACACCGGUGGCGAAGGCGGUUCUCUGGGCCUUACCUGACGCUGAGGAGCGAAAGUGUGGGGAGCGAACAGG
rnacentral:rRNA from 1 species